rnacentral:snoRNA from 1 species
AAGCAUAUGAUGUCAUUGUUUCUAACUGAAUGAAUGUGAUGCAUUCAAAGGAACCACUGAUGCUG